rnacentral:rRNA from 1 species
UACGAAGGGGGCUAGCGUUGCUCGGAAUCACUGGGCGUAAAGCGCACGUAGGCGGAUUGCUAAGUCAGGGGUGAAAUCCUGGAGCUCAACUCCAGAAUUGCCUUUGAUACUGGGGAUCUCGAGUCCGGAAGAGGUGAGUGGAACUCCGAGUGUAGAGGUGAAAUUCGUAGAUAUUCGGAAGAACACCAGUGGCGAAGGCGGCUCACUGGUCCGGUACUGACGCUGAGGUGCGAAAGCGUGGGGAGCAAACAGG